rnacentral:rRNA from 1 species
CUACGGGACGCUCCAGUGAGGAAUAUUGCACAAUGGGGGGAACCCUGAUGCAGCAACGCCGCGUGGAGGAUGACGCAUUUCGGUGUGUAAACUCCUUUUAUAUGUCAAGAAAAUGACGGUAGCAUAUGAAUAAGCACCGGCUAACUCCGUGCCAGCAGCCGCGGUAAUACGGAGGGUGCAAGCGUUACUCGGAAUCACUGGGCGUAAAGAGCGUGUAGGCGGUUUGGAAAGUCAGGUGUGAAAUCCUACAGCUUAACUGUAGAACUGCACUUGAAACUUCUAAUCUAGAGUAUGGGAGGGGGAGAUGGAAUUAGUGGUGUAGGGGUAAAAUCCGUAGAUAUCACUAGGAAUACCUAAAGCGAAGGCGAUCUCCUGGAACAUUACUGACGCUAAGGCGUGAAAGCGUGGGGAGCAAACAGGAUUAGAUACCCCGGUAGUC